GGAUUAGAUACCCUGGUAGUCCACGCCGUAAACGAUGAGAACUAGCCGUUGGGGGCUUUAAGUCCUUAGUGGCGCAGUUAACGCGAUAAGUUCUCCGCCUGGGGAGUACGGCCGCAAGGUUAAAACUCAAAUGAAUUGACGGGGGCCCGCACAAGCGGUGGAGCAUGUGGUUUAAUUCGAUGCAACGCGAAGAACCUUACCAGCCCUUGACAUCCUCGGAACGACCUAGAGAUAGGUUGGUGCCUUCGGGAGCCGAGAGACAGGUGUUGCAUGGCUGUCGUCAGCUCGUGCCG
rnacentral:rRNA from 1 species